GAACGGGGUUAUUUAGGAAAUUUCCUUCGGGGAAUGGAAUCUUUAACCUAGUGGCGGACGGGUGAGUAACGCGUGAGCAAUCUGCCUUCGGAUGGGGGAUAACAGCCGGAAACGGCUGCUAAUACCGCAUAACACAUGGGAUCCGCAUGUUUCCCGUGUCAAAGAUUUAUCGUCCGGAGAUGAGCUCGCGUCUGAUUAGCUGGUUGGCGGGGUAACGGCCCACCAAGGCGACGAUCAGUAGCCGGACUGAGAGGUUGAACGGCCACAUUGGGACUGAGACACGGCCCAGACUCCUACGGGAGGCAGCAGUGGGGAAUAUUGCGCAAUGGGGGCAACCCUGACGCAGCAACGCCGCGUGAUUGAAGAAGGCCUUCGGGUUGUAAAGAUCUUUAAUCGGGGACGAAUUUUGACGGUACCCGAAGAAUAAGCUCCGGCUAACUACGUGCCAGCAGCCGCGGUAAUACGUAGGGAGCAAGCGUUAUCCGGAUUUACUGGGUGUAAAGGGCGUGUAGGCGGGCAUGCAAGCCAGAAGUGAAAUC
rnacentral:rRNA from 1 species